ensembl:snRNA U6 U6 spliceosomal RNA
AUUAUCAUUUUGUCAGCACAUACAGUAAAAUUGGAAAAAUAGAGAGACUAGCAUGGCCCCCAUGCAAGGACGAUACACAAAUCCAUACAGUGUUCUAUAUUUUU